GUGGGGAAUCUUCCGCAAUGGACGAAAGUCUGACGGAGCAACGCCGCGUGAGUGAUGAAGGUCUUCGGAUUGUAAAGCUCUGUUAAUCGGGACGAAAGAGCCUAGUGUGAAUAAUGCUAGGAAGUGACGGUACCGGAAUAGAAAGCCACGGCUAACUACGUGCCAGCAGCCGCGGUAAUACGUAGGUGGCAAGCGUUGUCCGGAAUUAUUGGGCGUAAAGCGCGCGCAGGCGGAUCUGCCAGUCUGUCUUAAAAGUUCGGGGCUUAACCCCGGGAUGGGAUGGAAACUACAGAUCUAGAGUAUCGGAGAGGAAAGUGGAAUUCCUAGUGUAGCGGUGAAAUGCGUAGAUAGUAGGAAGAACACCAGGGGCGAAGGCGACUUUCUGGACGAAAACUGACGCUGAGGCGCGAAAGCCAGGGGAGCGAACGGGAUUAGAAACCCCGGUAGUCC
rnacentral:rRNA from 1 species